AUUUAAGUUGUUGCAGUUAAAAAGCUCGUAGUUGGAUUUCGGUUGAGAACGGCCGGUCCGCCGUUUGGUGUGCACUGGCUGGUUUCAACUUCCUGUAGAGGACGCGCUCUGGCUUCACGGCUGGACGCGGAGUCUACGUGGUUACUUUGAAAAAAUUAGAGUGUUCAAAGCGGGCUUACGCUUGAAUAUUUCAGCAUGGAAUAACACUAUAGGACUCCUGUCCUAUUUCGUUGGUCUCGGGACGGGAGUAAUGAUUAAGAGGAACAGUUGGGGGCAUUCGUAUUUCAUUGUCAGAGGUGAAAUUCUUGGAUUUAUGAAAGACGAACUUCUGCGAAAGCAUUUGCCAAGGAUGUUUUCAUUAAUCAAGAACGAAAGUUGGGGGCUCGAAGAUGAUUAGAUACCAUCCUAGUCUCAACCAUAAACGAUGCCGACUAGGGAUUGCAGGAUGUUAAUUGAUGACUCCUGCAGCACCUUAUGAGAAAUCAAAGUUUUUGGGUUCCGGGGGGAGUAUGGUCGCAAGGCUGAAACUUAAAGGAAUUGACGGAAGGGC
rnacentral:rRNA from 1 species